rnacentral:rRNA from 1 species
GACGGGGAGCACCACAACGGGUGGAGCCUGCGGUUUAAUUGGUACUCAACGCCGGGCAGCUCACCGGAUAAGACAGCUGGAUGAUAGCCGGGCUGAAGACUCUGCUUGACUAGCUGAGAGGAGGUGCAUGGCCGUCGUCAGUUCGUACUGUGAAGCAUCCUGUUAAGUCAGGCAACGAGCGAGACCCACGCCCACAGUUGCCAGCGUACUCUCUGGAGUGACGGGUACACUGUGGGGACCGCCGCUGCUAAAGCGGAGGAAGGAAUGGGCAACGGUAGGUCAGUAUGCCCCGAAUAUCCCGGGCUACACGCGAGCUACAAUGGUUGGUACAAUGGGUAUCUACCCCGAAAGGGGACGGGAAUCUCCUAAAACCAAUCUUAGUUCGGAUUGAGGGCUGCAACUCGCCCUCAUGAAGCUGGAAUCCGUAGUAAUCGCGUUUCAACAGAACGCGGUGAAUACGUCCCUGCUCCUU